CUCAUUCUCGGGGAACAGCUCUCUGCAAACAAUCGCUGUGGUUCAGAUCGCCCUGACUCAGCUAUCUCUCUGGAACAGCUGGUUCCUUUCUAGCUCUCUGCGGUUCCUCGGAUCUCUCACAAACAAAUGACAAACCACUGGCUUUUUAUUGGAAAAGCACUGGUUUUGCAGAGAAGGAUAGCUCUGCUUUCCAAUUCAUCAAAUCGUGACCGAGAGAGAUUCUAUCUGCAAUGAUGACCUUGAGGUUCCAGAAGCAGAGCAACCAGUGCCCCUGCCCCCAGCCCAGAAGAGGGGACAACGACCACAGGUUCAUUACUGCCCACCACAUCGAGACAGCCGAUCUCUUCACCAAGCUGGGUCUCUGUAAACCAUGAAGGAACACACCGCCAGCCUGGAACAAGGCAAGCACCUGCUGUACUGACUCUCCUUCCCCUCACCCAACAGCACACGACUAAUGGCUCAAUAUUAAAGGCAAGGCAGCAAUUUAGAGAGCAAGUCUGCCUUUGCUUCCUCCCAGUCUAGUCCAUGAAACACAAUUCUGAUGCUCCCUAAAGCUCCCAGUAAGUAGAUAAUAAGGCCCCGCUUUUCAAAGGGUCUGCCAGAGCCUUUUAUCUCUGACAGCGUCUAAUACCUGUCAAACAUUUUAGAUUAAAAUGAGUAUGGAGAGCAUAGCCUCACUCACUGGGACUAAACAGCAGCCCUGACUUUUAUUAUUAUUAUUAAUAACAGCCCUCAUUUACCUAGUAUUUGAGGACCUUACACAACACUUCCCUUAUAGGAAUCCUCUGAGAUAGAUGCUGCAAAUUUUAGUGUGCUUCUCCUCAUUUUAGAGACGGGGAAGCCAAGGCCCUGCCAGGGAUUUGCCCAUGGUCACUUGGCCUCCAUGUGCAGGUUCAAUGUUGUUUCCAUAUUAAAUGAUCAUUUAUUAAGCACA